rnacentral:rRNA from 1 species
AUGGCAGCUACUUUAUCCGAAGCCGGUUUUUUUCUUGGAUUCGACGAUUCAAAUGUCGCUUAUUACAUUACAAACCAGAGCGGCAAAAAUGCACGCAGUUGGAUUCGAACAAAAAACAGAAAGUUCAAUCACAAUAGUGAGGGUGGGGAUUGGCUCGCCGCAUCAAGGACACAUGCCGGUAACUCAGCUGCUGCCCCUGAUACCUGGCGGCGGACGGGCCGGGCGGGCGGCGACUACUUGUUCUUGUGCGCCUGGACGAACUUGGAGUUCUUGAGGUCCUCCUCGGUGAAGCCGGCGGUCAUCUUGGUGAUGAGGGUCCCCGUGACGGCGAAGCCGGCGAGGAAGGGCCAGGUGCGGCCCCACUCCCGGCGGAAGAACACCGGCCACGGGUCGAACGCCGAGAAGAACUUCAUCUCCGGUGGCUUUGAUCUCGACCUCCGCCUUGGAUUGGAUUGGAUUGGAUUCGAGUCCGCCAAGAUCUGA